CUACCUACGGGGGGCAGCAGUGAGGAAUAUUGGUCAAUGGGCGGUAGCCUGAACCAGCCAAGUAGCGUGAAGGAUGAAGGUUCUAUGGAUUGUAAACGUCUUUUAUAAAGGAAUAAAGUGAGGCACGUGUGCCUUUUUGUAUGUACUUUAUGAAUAAGGAUCGGCUAACUCCGUGCCAGCAGCCGCGGUAAUACGGAGGAUCCGAGCGUUAUCCGGCUUUAUUGGGUUUAAAGGGAGCGUAGGUGGACAGUUAAGUCAGUUGUGAAAGUUUGCGGCUCAACCGUAAAAUUGCAGUUGAUACUGGG
rnacentral:rRNA from 1 species